CCUACGGGAGGCUGCAGUGGGGAAUCUUCCGCAAUGGACGAAAGUCUGACGGAGCAACGCCGCGUGAGUGAAGAAGGUUUUCGGAUCGUAAAACUCUGUUUUCAGGGACGAAUGUGUGGAUUGUAAAUAAUGAUCCAUAAUGACGGUACCUGACAAGAAAGCCACGGCUAACUACGUGCCAGCAGCCGCGGUAAUACGUAGGUGGCAAGCGUUGUCCGGAAUUAUUGGGCGUAAAGCGCGCGCAGGUGGGAUAAUCAGUCUGAUGUUAAAGUUCGGGGCUUAACCCCGUGAAGCAUUGGAUACUGUUAUUCUUGAGUGCAGGAGAGGAAAGUGGAAUUCCUAGUGUAGCGGUGAAAUGCGUAGAUAUUAGGAGGAACACCAGUGGCGAAGGCGACUUUCUGGACUGUGUCUGACACUGAGGCGCGAAAGCCAGGGUAGUGAACGGGAUUAGAUACCCCGGUAGUC
rnacentral:rRNA from 1 species